UAAAACAUCAACACAUAGUACUGUGCAUAUAUUUUAUCUAUACUCACACUUCAAGCCAUAGAAGACUAGUUUGGAUUGAAGAAAUAGGUUGAAAGUAGAAUUAGAACAAUUACUGAGAUAUUCAUGUUAUUUGUCGUUUCAGUUGUAUUCUUUUCUGCACUUUCUAAUGCUUCAUAAUCAUCUUGGGAAACAGAAGCUAUCAUAUGAAUAAAAGAAUCUGAAAGGUCAGCAGGCUGAAGUGUGAAAGCAGAGUUGUAAGGCUCCGGUGUUGCCAGCAUUUCAGAACCAGAGAGAACAGGGAUGAAAAUAGUCAUGGAGGGAAGAGUUCCAACUGAUGAUCUUCAAGUUAGGCAGUAAAGAUGGGCACCUGCUCUUCUUUUCCAAGAGAUGAUUUCUUGUUCAAGGACCUUUCGCCUUCCUGGUCUCAGAUCACACACCGGAAGAAGGCCUGUUACUUUUGGAGGAACUUACUGACCAGAGGUAGUUCGUGGCCAUAGAAGAUGGUGAG